rnacentral:rRNA from 1 species
CUGACCGUAAACGAUGCCAACUAGCGAUCCGCCGGUGGUAAUUACGCCCCGGCGGGGAGCUUCCCGGAAACGAAAGUCUUCCGGUUCCGGGGGAAGUAUGGUUGCAAAGCUGAAACUUAAAGGAAUUGACGGAAGGGCACCACCAGGAGUGGAGCUUGCGGCUUAAUUUGACUCAACACGGGGAAACUCACCCGGCCCGGACACCGUAAGGAUUGACAGAUUGAGAGCUCUUUCUUGAUUCGGUGGUUGGUGGUGCAUGGCCGUUCUUAGUUGGUGGAGCGAUUUGUCUGGUUUAUUCCGAUAACGAACGAGACUCUGGCCUACUAACUAGUGACAGGAUUAUUGCUGUCCUGGUUACUUCUUAGAGGGACAAGUGGUGUUCAGCCACACGAAAUUGAGCAAUAACAGGUCUGUGAUGCCCUUAGAUGUCCGGGGCUGCACGCGUGCUACACUGGAGGAAACAGCAUGCAAAACCAUUGCCGAGAGGCAUUGGUAAACCCGAGAAAAUCUUCCGUGAUCGGGAUCGGGAAUUGCAAUUAUUUCCCUUGAACGAGGAAUUCCCAG